CCCGUCCGCAUCCUUUGUUCCGUCGCCGCCACUCCCGCGAAGAAGCACUGGGCGGCGUCGCCCUUCUUCCUGUUCUCCACCCUGAGCCCGAGCCCCGCGCACCACCUCUUUGGCGCCUCCGCGGUGUCCCCGCGCAAGCUCCCCGCAACCCCCCGGGCCGCCGUCCGCGCAAUAACACAGCGGGCAGCGACCGGAAGCACAGCAGCGGGUUUCGCGGGAACACGGGCGCAGCAAUCCUCACGGCGCUUGCUCCGCUCGGUUCGGCUCCGUAAUCGGAGUCCUCGCAAUCACCUGAUCGUCGCGUCGCAUCCCUUUCUCGUGGCGUUCGCUCCGCUCAGUUUGGCUCCAUAGACUCAAAGCCCCGUCCAGUUGGCUAUUGAGUGGAUCCCGGUCCGGGAGCGCAAGCAGCUGGGAUCGAUUCCCAAGAUGAUAUGUCUUGGCUUUUGAUUGAGGGAGGUUGUGUGUGCGUGCAUCCUGGUGAUCGUGUAACCGAGGAGAGUUGGUAUUUGUUUCCCAGCUGUCCGAAAAUUGAAAUUCCUAUGUGAAGCGCCAGGUAUUUUCUGCAAUGUAAAGCUCCAUGCCUUGGCUGUUCACGGGCAUAGUCUUGCUAUACUUGGAAGCAAUCAGCAGCGCCAGGAUUGCAAUAGAGUAUAACCGUGAUGUAGGUAGCAUUGGCACCAAAACAUAUGCCAUUUAUUGUCGUCGAUGGUAAAUUUGCUUUUGUAUCUCCAUCCAAUAUCAGUUUCUUUUCUUUCUUUAAAGUUUGUUAGAGAUAUUAGAAAAAUUGAGGCAUAUAUACUGCUAACAUGUUAUGCCUAUAAAAAAGGAUAAAUAUAUGUCAUCCAUUUGAUUCUAUUAAAACUAGAAUUGGGUUAGCUUACAAUUCAAAUAUGACUCUUUUAAGAAAAAACAUAGAUGCAACCUUACCCUAAUACUUCAUUGAAAAUAAAAUUGACAUUUAUAUUAUUAAUUCCAGUUUUAGAUACUAGGUAAGUUGGAGCAACAAUCAGUUUAGUCCAUCAAUAGCAGAGGAACAGUCUUCUACAUGCGAAUUUCAUUAUACCUGCUAAUCUUCAGUUUGGUGAACAUGGAAUUCACAGUAGAAAGUGAAGAAAAUUCUUCUGUACCAAAGAUGCGAAAUUAAAAUUCCAUCUUACAUCAAGUGAUAUGUUUAGCAUCAGGAGAUUAAGAUGGGUUACCGUUAGCAUUUCUUCCGAUGAGAAUAUUAUUUUUGGAUCAUCUUGCAAUGUUAAAUUGAUAGCUCACUGAACUGAACUUAGUUCAGUAGUCUAUGUUACUGUUAACUGGCUUUUCUGUUUGUCAAACUUCAACUUCAAACCUCAGAAUUUCGGCAGCUUCACUUGAUUUGCAUAAAUGUCUUUCGGGCUUUAGACCGAGGCAACCAUAUUGAAGGCUGAAGAUUGAAGAGGAAUUUAGGCAGAUGAUGAGUACAUACAACAAACCUAUUGAGCCUGAUCACGCUCUACAGCCAACAAAAGGCAACUGUCAGUUUAUUAAAUAGUAUUACUUUAUCCAUUUUAAAUUGUGUUACUGUCAUAUAUAGGAUCCCAACACUAAUUCCUCCAAGAAUAUUGCCUCCCAUGAAUGACAAAGCUCAACAGUUGCUUCGGGCUGGAAAUCAGCAUUUAGUUUGCAUGAAGAAAUCUACGAUCAUGAUGUUCUUCUUCGAUAUUUUGGAAGAUAUAUUUACUAUGCCUUCAAAAGUACAGGUUCCUCCAUCGUAUGUCAUACUUCAUGUUGAAUGCACCUGUCAAGUCGUUUAAAUAAAGUUGAAUAGCAAUUGUGAGCCAUGGUUCAAUUUAAUAGGUAAAACCAAAUACAGGUCUGAUUAGCCCAACAAAUAAACGCAUAACCUGCAUUCUUGGAGCUGGUACCAUUCUCUGUUUUCUGUGACAAUUAUUUAGAUCAUUAUACAAGUAUUCAGCUGCCGUUGCAACAAUUCUCAUUGCAUGUCUUCAUUGCAAAAGUUCGAUUGAUUUCAGCAAUCCAACUAUUCCUGAGAUAUAAACAUGAUGCAAUAGAUAUAGACAUCAACUUUUGUUUUUAGUUAGCUUAGAACUAUUUGUUAUUGCUAUCUGUUCUCUGCUCUCUGUUCUGCUAAUGACUGUAUUUAAGUUUGCAUGUACGCACUGUAUGAAAUUCCCUUUUCAUAUUGAUACUCAGUUAACUAACAUUACUUUUUUUUUUCUCUUGCAGGAUCAUCAUGCUUAUGUUUAGUUUUUUGAGAAAUUGUAUCUAACCUCAACUAUCUCAGUCACAGUGAUAACAACUCAUGAUCUUUACUACAAAGGCUAUUUUGUUGUAAUAUAAACAAA